GAUGAACGCUGGCGGCGUGCCUAAUACAUGCAAGUCGAGCGAACAGACGAGGAGCUUGCUCCUCUGACGUUAGCGGCGGACGGGUGAGUAACACGUGGAUAACCUACCUAUAAGACUGGGAUAACUUCGGGAAACCGGAGCUAAUACCGGAUAAUAUAUUGAACCGCAUGGUUCAAUAGAGAAAGACGGUUUUGCUGUCACUUAUAGAUGGAUCCGCGCCGCAUUAGCUAGUUGGUAAGGUAACGGCUUACCAAGGCAACGAUGCGUAGCCGACCUGAGAGGGUGAUCGGCCACACUGGAACUGAGACACGGUCCAGACCCCUACGGGAGGCAGCAGUAGGGAAUCUUCCGCAAUGGGCGAAAGCCUGACGGAGCAACGCCGCGUGAGUGAUGAAGGUCUUCGGAUCGUAAAACUCUGUUAUUAGGGAAGAACAAAUGUGUAAGUAACUAUGCACGUCUUGACGGUACCUAAUCAGAAAGCCACGGCUAACUACGUG
rnacentral:rRNA from 1 species